GAUGAACGCUGGCGGCGUGCCUAAUACAUGCAAGUCGAGCGAACAGAUAAGGAGCUUGCUCCUUUGAAGUUAGCGGCGGACGGGUGAGUAACACGUGGAUAACCUACCUAUAAGACUGGGAUAACUUCGGGAAACCGGAGCUAAUACCGGAUAACAUUUAGAACCGCAUGGUUCUAUAGUGAAAGAUGGUUUUGCUAUCACUUAUAGAUGGACCCGCGCCGUAUUAGCUAGUUGGUAAGGUAACGGCUUACCAAGGCGACGAUACGUAGCCGACCUGAGAGGGUGAUCGGCCACACUGGAACUGAGACACGGUCCAGACUCCUACGGGAGGCAGCAGUAGGGAAUCUUCCGCAAUGGGCGAAAGCCUGACGGAGCAACGCCGCGUGAGUGAUGAAGGGUUUCGGAUCGUAAAACUCUGUUAUUAGGGAAGAACAAAUGUGUAAGUAACUGUGCACAUCUUGACGGUACCUAAUCAGAAAGCCACGGCUAACUACGUG
rnacentral:rRNA from 1 species